AUGCCUCUUGCGGUAAUUAUAUCCUUUCUGGCUUUCUCUAUAUCCCCAUUCUCACUCUUCCCUUUACAUUUUUUAUACCCAAAUCCCAACAUCACAACCACAACACCACCACCACCUAAGCAUAUGUUCACCGAACACCGGUUUUCAGGCGAAGAUAGGGUAUCUAGCCAGUAGAUCGGUGUGUCUUUUAUUUUCUCUCAAAGUAACAAAUAAUCCAUAAAAAGCAAAUUAAGGAGUCGGACUCCAUGGCGGUUCACCACCAAGGCAGACGACCACGAUGAUGAAACCUUUGGUGGCGACUCUGGUGUUUCCGGAAAUUUUUAGGUCACCGUAGUCCCGAUCUAGCUUUGCAUGUGGUUUUCACGACCCGAUCUGUGUUGGAUAGGGUUUUAAGGAUAAUGUUUGCAAUGGUGGAUUGGCUUGGACUGUGAUGCCUUGCUGCGUGAUGUACUGAAAAGUACAUAUGUUUAUAGUGUAUCUUUUGGUCAGUUUUCAGUUGUUUUGAGUCUAGUUUAGGUUAGAAUUUCGAUACUGCUGACGUUAAGCUUUGAUUUCAG